CUCGUACAGCUGCACAGUUCUGGGCUUGAUUCUGGAUGCUUGCCAAUCUCUGCCACGUGCUUGCUUCUAGACUUCACAUUGUAUCUUGUGCUGCUUUGUUUAUAACACGUGCUUUUGUCUGUUGUAGAAUAUAAUCUUGGAACAGUCUUUGUGAUUUGAAAAUCUCUGUCUUCUGAUAAACACACACAGCUCUUAACACAGCUUUUAACACGGUUCUUUUUUCUGUUUCUGGCUGCACACACUUCUAUUCAACACAAAAAGUAAUUUGAUAUCCGUCCUCUCUCUGCUCAACUCCGCCCC